GCGCUCCCCGGCGAGGGUGGGGCCUGAGCGCUGAUUGGCGUUAUUCUCCACCAAUCGUCGUUCGGGAUCCGCCCCUGCGGUGC
ensembl:miRNA gga-mir-1742 gga-mir-1742